GCAGCAGUCGGGAAUUUUGGGCAAUGGGCGAAAGCCUGACCCAGCAACGCCGCGUGAAGGAUGAAAUCCUUCGGGAUGUAAACUUCGCAAGAACGGGAAGAAUAAGCCGGUGUUAAUAUCACCGGUGAUGACGGUACUGUUUGUAAGCUCCGGCUAACUCCGUGCCAGCAGCCGCGGUAAUACGGGGGGAGCAAGCGUUGUUUGGAUUUACUGGGCGUAAAGGGCGCGUAGGCGGCCUCUGCAAGUCGACUGUGAAAUAUCCGGGCUUAACCCCGAAAGGUCAGCCGAUACUGCAGGGCUAGAGUGCAGAAGGGGCAACUGGAAUUCUCGGUGUAGCGGUGAAAUGCGUAGAUAAUGAGAGGAACACCUGCGGCGAAGGCGGGUUGCUGGGCUGACACUGACACGAUGCGCGAAAAAUAGGGGAGCGCACGGGAUUAGAUACCCCGGUAGUCCUAGCCUUAAACGAUGAAUGCUUGGUGUCUGGGGUUUUAUAGUCCCCCGGUGCCGUAGCUAACGCGUAAGCAUCCGCUGGAGACGCCACGUGC
rnacentral:rRNA from 1 species